rnacentral:rRNA from 1 species
AGCGUAGACGGUAUGGCAAGUCUGAUGUGAAAGGCCAGGGCUCAACCCUGGGACUGCAUUGGAAACUGUCGAACUAGAGUGUCGGAGAGGCAAGUGGAAUUCCUAGUGUAGCGGUGAAAUGCGUAGAUAUUAGGAGGAACACCAGUGGCGAAGGCGGCUUGCUGGACGAUGACUGACGUUGAGGCUCGAAAGGCUGGGAGCAAACA